GCCUGGGUAGCUCAGCCGGCAGAGCAGCGCAUUCGUAAUGCGCAGGUCGUGGGUUCGAUUCCCACCCCAGGCUCCA
rnacentral:tRNA from 1 species